rnacentral:rRNA from 1 species
AAUAUUGCGCAAUGGGGGAAACCCUGACGCAGCGACGCCGCGUGAAGGAAGAAGGUUUUCGGAUUGUAAACUUCUAUCAGCAGGGAAGAUGAUGACAGUACCUGACUAAGAAGCCCCGGCUAACUACGUGCCAGCAGCCGCGGUAAUACGUAGGGGGCAAGCGUUGUCCGGAAUUACUGGGCGUAAAGGGUGCGUAGGCGGCCGAUUAAGUCAGAUGUGAAAUACCACGGCUCAACUGUGGGGGUGCAUUUGAAACUGGUUGGCUUGAGUGCAGGAGAGGAAAGUGGAAUUCCUAGUGUAGCGGUGAAAUGCGUAGAGAUUAGGAGGAACACCAGUGGCGAAGGCGACUUUCUGGACUGUAACUGACGCUGAGGCACGAAAGCGUGGGGAGCGAACAGG